rnacentral:lncRNA from 1 species
CCACAGUUUGAUGAACGGUUCCAUACUGUGAGUGCACCACAUAUUGUACUUCCAGUACUGCAAUACAACCUCUGAUGCUGUCCUCAACUUUCAAAGCACAAACUCUCAAAUCCAAAAGCAACCAAGCAAUCUUCCGUGUUGAACGUCUAAUUAGAGUCUGAUUAACUCACAAAAUUACAGAGAAAUCAGAUUUUCAAUACAGUAGGAUGGCAGAGAAAACUCCCAAAUCUCCAUAUAGAUGAGCCAAAGCAUCAGAAUUGUAAUGUUCCGUUUUCAGUCUACUUUAUGAGGGCUUAACUCUCACAGGCUCUGCGGUGCCUAUACAGCCUGUGAUGUACGAUGUCAGAAUGUAUGAGGCACCGAGAAAAGCCCCCAGAACAGAUGGCAUUGUUUUUGGAAGUCACAUCCUGGAGGGGAAAUCAAAUAAAUCAAAUAAAUAAACCUUCAAAUCAGCGAGGAGGGCAGGAAUGUAUAUUCACAAAACCUUUAGAAUAGCACCUGCUUCCUCUGCUGCUUUGGCUGAUUUUCUGGUUUUACUCUUCCCACUGAAAAACAGAGCAUUAAUAAUACUUCCAUUACACAUAAAAACAGCGUAAUUACUGUUGUCACUGUGGGAAAAAAUUGCCUACGGUCUCCUCAUUGUUGAUACUACCAUACUGUUUUUAAGGUUGUGUACUCAAGGGAAAUUGUGCUCAUGCUGAAGUAUAACCAAUAAAAAUCAUUUUUCGUUCAAUGAUAUAGAGAACAAAUAGGCUUAAAGCCUCAGGAGGAAACUGGCAAUGUUUUAGUACAGAGCACUUGGAGGGUUGGCAUUCCUUCCUCCAGAAGUUUGUUUUCCGAGGACGUAUUGCAUACUGGAAGUUCAAUACUGGCUACAUGAAAUAAUGAACACAAAUGAUAUCCCCAAAUAUUUCACUUUUGAAUGCCCAACAGAGUAAAAAACUGUUUCCUUAUAAUGGCAAUAUUCAGUAGCUCACCACUUUUUCAAUUUAAAAAGUUACAGAAAAUCUGUUAUUGCCUUUUCCCCUCCCCAGAUUUAGUUCCCAUUGCCAAAAAUAAGUGUCAUCCAGGUGGAAAAUAGUUCAGUGUAGUGACCUCUUGUAUCUCAACUGAAAUUAGGCAGCCCAAGAAGAGCACCAACAGCUCCAAAGUAGCCCUCAUGUUCUAGGAACAAGGCCUUCAGCUGGCCUUUCGACCAGUAAUCCAGUGCAUACGCGAGAAGCUUCAUUGACAAAGUAUUCACACGUAAAAAAUUGCCAACAAACACAACUCUAUUUAUUUUCUCAUUUACUGCACACAUCCGGGCAAUAGACCCAAUGUUAUUGGUGAUGGUGACCAAUAUGGCUCUGGCAAGAUCUUCUUUACUAACAGUCUCUCUCUUCUCUUUGUAGAUCAUAUUCCCAAAACUGGAUGCUACAGCCCAUCCUGGCAAGCCAAAUCUUUCAUAGUCUCCCCCAUAAAUAUCUCGAACCAGCUUGUCAGCAUGCGUGCUGUCUCCUUUGGAUGCCAUUUCCAAAGCUUCUUCAAAACUUUCACAGCCUGUCAACAAACUGCAUAAACCAAGAAAGGUUCCUCCACCUAGACUUGUUCCAGUUACUCUCUUAUAGUUGUCUUUGGAAUGGACUGAUAAAAUACUGACUCCUGACCCAAUGUUAACAACCAGCAAUGGAUACGGGUCAUCCAGGUUAAAAGGCAUCUUCUGGCAUCGCUCAGGUUCUGAGGCAUUUUCAAAGUA